rnacentral:pre_miRNA from 1 species
CUUGUACUCCCUUCGUCCGAAAAAACUUGUCCCAAGCUUGUUCCUCAAAUGGAUGUAUCUAGCACUAACUUGGUGCUAGAUACAUCCAUUUGAGGGACAAGUUUUUUAGUUUUUUCGGACGGAGGGAGUAUGUU